rnacentral:rRNA from 2 species
GGACUACCCGGGUAUCUAAUCCCGUUUGCUCCCCUAGCCUUCGCGCCUCAGCGUCAGGAAUUGUCCAGAGAUCCGCCUUCGCCACUGGUCUUCCUCACGAUAUCUACGCAUUUCACUGCUACACCGUGAAUUCCGAUCUCCUCUCCAAUCCUCUAGCAGAGCAGUAUCCAGUGCAUUUUCGAAGUUGAGCUCCGAGAUUUCACACCAGACUUACCCCACCGCCUACGCGCCCUUUACGCCCAAUGAAUCCGAACAACGCUUGAGACCUCUGUAUUACCGCGGCUGCUGGCAC